GCUGAAGUCAAAGUUUCUGGAGCUGCUGCCUCCGCAGAAACCUGACCGGCCAGUGGCUCUCUAGGGACAGGCGGUGGCUUACCUUCCGCGUGGAAUUCACGAAACACAGAUCACUGUCUGCCAGAACUACAAGGCGCCCACCAAAGCUUUUUUUUUUUUUUUUUUAAGAUUUUAUUUAUUUAUUCCUGUGACACACACACACAGAGAGAGAGGCAGAGACACAGGCAGAGGGAGAAGCAGGCCCCACGCACGGAGCCCGAUGCGGGGACUCGAUCCUGGGACUCCGGGGUCACACCCUGGGCCGAAAGCAGAUGCUCAACCGCUGGGCCACCCAGGCGUCCCUACCCACCAGAGUUACAGAGGGUGUUUGAUUAGAUCCCGCCUGUCGGGGGUCGGGGGGGACCCAGGAGCUCCCACGGGGGCCCCCGAGGGGGUGGUGCCCAUGGGGUCAGCCACCUCCGGGGGGUGUUGCUGCAGGCCCCUCCGAGUCUCUUAACAUCCCGAAGAAGAAAGGGGACGAGGACAGCAGGGCAGGAGAACCAGGGCAAAGGACGCAUGCAGACUUCAGCACAUGAUGAGCUGGGCCCCUGCCCCGGCGCUGCUUCAGCUGAGCGUGAGUCCUGCUUCCCGAAGCGCCGGGAGGACUUGCACCAGGUCAUCCUCAAGGUCAUCAUUACAAGAGGCGAAGACGGUCACACAAUUCAGUAAGAAAUAUCUGACCAAGAUGCAUCAUCUGAUGCUGGGGCUGGAGAUGAGAAAAGAUACAGCACAAAUUUUUACCCUGCAAACUCAUGAGAAAUUAUUCUGGAAAAGUCAAGGCUUCGUGGCAAAAGAUCUCCUUUUUCAACCUGCUUUGUAAAAGACACCUGGAGGAUUUACAACUUGACUUUCUAUGAGGGCAGAAGGCGUAACAUGGUGAGUGACUUCCAGUUAUCAGCUGCCUCAAAUGAACAUCUUUCAUUCCAUCCCUGAUGAUAAUGCCUUCAACAAGCAAUCUCAAGUGAGGGUGCAAAUGAGAGUUUAUAAACUCUGGAUUGAGAAAACCUG
rnacentral:lncRNA from 12 species